UGGGCAACCUGCCCCUAGCUCUGGGAUAACUCCGGGAAACCGGGGCUAAUACCGGAUAUGACCUCGAGCGGCAUCACUUGAGGUGGAAAGUUUUUCGGCUAGGGAUGGGCCCGCGGCCUAUCAGCUUGUUGGUGAGGUAACGGCUCACCAAGGCAACGAUGCGUAGCCGACCUGAGAGGGUGAUCGGCCACAUUGGAACUGAGACACGGUCCAGACUCCUACGGGAGGCAG
rnacentral:rRNA from 1 species